rnacentral:lncRNA from 1 species
UAACUACUCAUUUUCCCUAUUAUAAAUAUUUUCCUCAUUAUGAAAUUCUUUUUUCCUUCCACAUCUUCAUUCUAGGUUUUAAGUUCACAUUAUAGGGGCUUUUUCUGGAUUUUUUUGGAUCGUAUAUUGAUUCCAUUUCAAUUGUACUUGCUUAAUUAUGUAUUAUUAGUGAUUGUGCUAUAUCUUUAGUUAUCAAUGUAUUUGUAAAAACUCCUUAAGAUGUAUAUGUUAAAAAAAAUAUUUGUUCAUAUAAAAGGCUUUUUAAUAGUUAGAUAUAUAUUGAAAAAUAAAUUAUUUAUUAAUUUAAUAAAUCUGUCAUAU